AUGGCUCAGGAUGAACGCUGGCGGCGUGCUUAACACAUGCAAGUCGAACGAAGCAGCUUCGUUGCUUGCAAGAAAGCUGACUUAGUGGCGGACGGGUGAGUAACGCGUGGGUAACCUGCCUCAUACAGGGGGAUAACAGUUGGAAACGACUGCUAAGACCGCAUAACCCGCUAGUGUCGCAUGACACGGACGGAAAAUAUUUAUAGGUAUGAGAUGGGCCCGCGUCUGAUUAGCUAGUUGGUAAGGUAACGGCUUACCAAGGCGACGAUCAGUAGCCGACUUGAGAGAGUGAUCGGCCACAUUGGGACUGAGACACGGCCCAAACUCCUACGGGAGGCAGCAGUGGGGAAUAUUGGACAAUGGGGGAAACCCUGAUCCAGCGAACCGCCGCGUGAGUGAAGAAGUAUUUCGGUACGUAAAGCUCUAUCAGCAGGGAAGAUAAUGACAGUACCUGACUAAGAAGCCCCGGCUAACUACGUGCCAGCAGCUGC
rnacentral:rRNA from 1 species